rnacentral:rRNA from 1 species
AGAGUUUGAUCAUGGCUCAGAGUGAACGCUGGCGGCGUGCUUAACACAUGCAAGUCGUACGAGAAAGCUUCUGCUUGCAGAGGCGAGUAAAGUGGCGCACGGGUGAGUAACACGUGGGUAAUCUACCCUCGAAUUGGGGAUAACAUUGCGAAAGCGAUGCUAAUACCGAAUGACAUCCUUAGACCCUCGGGGAAAAGGAUCAAAGGUGGCCUCUUCAUGAAAGCUACUGUUUGAGGAUGAGCCCGCGUCCCAUUAGCUUGUUGGUGGGGUAAUGGCCUACCAAGGCAGCGAUGGGUAGCUGGUCUGAGAGGACGACCAGCCACACUGGAACUGACACACGGUCCAGACUCCUACGGGAGGCAGCAGUGAGGAAUUUUGCGCAAUGGGGGAAACCCUGACGCAGCAACGCCGCGUGAGUGAUGAAGGCCUUCGGGUCGUAAAGCUCUGUCAAGUGGGAAGAACCCGCAUAUGGCUAAUAUCCAUUUGCGCUGACGGUACCACUGAAGGAAGCACCGGCUAACUCCGUGCCAGCAGCCGCGGUAAUACGGGGGGUGCAAGCGUUACUCGGAAUCAUUGGGCGUAAAGGGCGCGCAGGCGGCUUGGUAGGUCAGAUGUGAAAUCCCGGGGCUCAACCCCGGAAGUGCAUAUGAAACCCCCAAGCUUGAGUAUGGAAGAGGGAAGUGGAAUUCCUGGUGUAGAGGUGAAAUUCGUAGAUAUCAGGAGGAACACCGGUGGCGAAGGCGACUUCCUGGACCAAUACUGAGCUGAGGCGCGAAGGCGUGGGGAGCAAACAGGAUUAGAUACCCUAGUAGUCC